CGAGGAGGCAGGAGCACACGGGCAGGGACAGGAAUGUGUGAAGAAGCAAGGCCCGGUGCAGGCUGUGGAAUGGCACCAGCUUUGCCCGUAUGUGCAGAAGACUCGAACCUACCCAGUCCCACCGUAUGCACAUGUCGUUUGUAUGUGCCGCUCUCUAAGCCUAAUUUGACACACUUAUUCACAAAGGGCAUAUGAGGAACAAAAUUCACGGAAACGGAUAUGCAAAAUUAUGAAGAGGAAGAGAAAGCAAAUGCAGUAAAACAGGGGCUUGAGAAGAAUCUUUUCAGCAGCUUUCAAGUUUCCUGCAGUCUGCUGUUAAGAAGCUUCAGUUUUCCUGAUAGAGCCACGGGAUCCCAGCUAGCAUCCGGUCAGUUUCUAUAUCGAAUAUUUGGGACCAUAUGUUAUAUACACCUAUCUCCAGACUGGUUUCUUCAUAAGACAAAAUGAAUUUAAGUUUGCUAUCUCCUUUUGAAGACUAGAACCAUUUGACUCUACUGGCGGACUCUGCCAGAUUGGUGCCCAGACGUGGGACUUGAGAUACAGGGAAUCAGUGAAGAACACCAUGGGUGUUGGUGAGCUCGAAUCAUAAACAAAAAGGGUGAGGUGAGUAAAUCCAAGAAUAAAAAUGGGACAGGGCAGUAGCCUAAUGUUUUUUGUAUGGAACUUAAUUAAAGGUAGUCUGUAUAUGAGGCAGGAAACUGAGAAAGUUAAACUUUCAGGCUUAGAGAGGAAGAGGUUAAAAAGAUGGGAGGCUUCAAGACAAAAUGAUAUUAGACCAUCAGCUCCUCCAGAGGAGUUGUAUUUCCCUCCUGAUGAUAGUAAUUUCUUGUCAGAGGAAGAUUUUGAGGAUGUCUUAGAUCCUGAUGAGGUUACAGAGUUGGAGGAAGAACCAGACCAGUAUUAUUCUGAGAGAUUCCCUCCGAUUCAGACUAUGCAUGUUAAAAAGCAUAAGCCUUGGCAAAAAGAAAUUAAAAGAUUGGAAUGGGGCUUGGAGGAAAUAAACAGAAAAAUUAGAGAAUUAACUACUAGGGAAAAUGAGGCUCAAUCCCCCACUCCAACUCCAUCAGUGGUUGCAGGCUUGGACCCUCCUCCUGGGACUGCUACAGUAGCAGUGGCCCAAAAGACAAGGGGACCUUUUCCUUUGUCCACUGUAUGGGCAACUUUAUCACUCUUACAAGCUUCUUUACAAGAAGCUAGACAUAAUGGAGAAGAUAUAUCUGAGUUUUAUGGUUUUCCAGUUCUAGAGCAGCCUGAUGGACAAGAUAAUAUGGCGAGAGUCCAUGCUCCUAUACCUUUUAAACAAUUAAAAGAAUUGAAAUCUGCAAGCUCUCAAUAUGGUCCAAAGCACCUUUUACUCAAGCUCUGCUGGAGUCCCUGUCUACUGAGGCCCUCUGUCCAGGGGACUGGAAGCAAUUUGCAAAAAAAUGUUUAGCAAGAAAAGAUCAUUUGUUAUGGAAGUUAGAAUUUACUGAGCAGUGUUAAGCUAAGACUAAAAUCACUUGAGAAAAAAAAAAAAAGACAGCUUCUCAGGUUUUCCAGUAAAAAGAAAAGCAAAACAAAACAAAAAACUAAUGGUUAAUUCUGCUACAAAGCUUCAGUGGUCAUAAAAAUCAAAUUCAACAAGUAACAAGAGGUUUUAUCUGUCUGUCUUGAAGGUAUAAGUUUACCAUAUUCAGUAUGUCUUGGUUAUAGAUUAUUGGUCAUUGUGUAUGUUUAAAAUCUAUAGCAUAAAGUUAGCUAAAAACCUAGGUUUAGAACCAUUCUAAACAACAAAUGGAUGUUACUCAUAUCCCAAAAUUUAAAAAACUAAAAUGUUUUGCUACAAUUGGUAUUUCUCCCUUUAUAAAGACUAAUAAUGGUACUACAUAUAUUAGUCAAGCUUUUCAACAUUUAAAAAAAUCAUAAACAGGUAUGCCGUAUAAUCCUUAAGGCUAAAAAGUUAUGGAGCCUUCACAUGGAUCUCUUAAGAGCCAAUUGCAAAAAAUAAAAAAGGGGAGUCAUAUCUCCAAAUCUUAAUCAUGUUCUCUUUAUUUUAAUUUUUUUUUGAAUGUGGAUAUACAAGGCCAUCUAUUGUGGCAUCCUAAUACCAAAGAUAAUUAUGCCCAAGUAAAAUGGGAAGAUCCGAUUACUGGAAUAUGGCAGGACCCUGACCCUAUAUUAAUAUGGGGAAGAGGAUAUGUUUGUGUUUUUCAACAGGACGCAGAAGGAGCCAGGUGGAUCCCAGAAAGGCUGAUGUAAUUGGCAGGAGAUGUUCCCCAGAAAGAAGAUGUUCCCGCUGCAGACAAUCGUGAAUUCUGUCCUGACUGAGAACAGAAAGCUGCAUUGGACUUAAGCUCCUGACCCACCUCUGUUUCAUUCUGCUCCUGGGAGAAGACAUCAUGCAGAGAAACCUCUUAUACAAUGGACUGGACCUAAUUGUUCUGUUAAUGAGGACAAUUCUUAACAAAAUCAGGAAGAAGGAAAAAGAGCACUGACUAUGAAACUUUGGUCUGGUUCUGGUUUUCAGCAGACCAAAAUGAGCUUGCUUCAAAAACUCUUGGGAGGCCCUGGAACUACCUAUGUAAAUUCUCCUUUUGCUUUGUUGUUUGGAAAUGUUACAAGAUUCAACUUUAAUGUUUCUUGCCAUCAAUGUAAACUAACAAACUGUAUUUGUAAGCUUUCAAAUGGUUCUGACUGCUCGACAGCCUUUUACUAUGGUUUCUGUGAAUGUUUCUCAGACCUGGUGUUUACACAAGGAGUCAUUUGUUAAGUCACUUUUUUGGAGUGUUAUUUUGGACUUGGCUUGUGAUAGGGGAUGCACUCCUAUCAGUGACAAUUAAAACCUUCCUAAAGGCCUUUUAGAAUGUUAAAGCUGAGCUGAUCUGCAUAAGACUAAACCCCAGUGUCUACCCUAGCAGAGGUUGGUAGUCAAUGACAGGUAGUAUUUCUCUGGGAUAUAUUCAACCUAAGGCAGGGCAUAAAUGAUGGAAUUCAUGUACCAAUGACAGGUAAGAAUAUAUCUUACGAGAGAGAUAGCCUGAGAAAGGUACAAUCUUCUGCUCCAUAACUCUUAAGUUAUGGUCAAUUUUUUUAAAAAAUAAAAAAGGGAGACCUGUUGGGAGCUGCUGUUCUAGCAGCUGCUUUGAUAUUUAAAUCUCAGCAGAAAGAUUGCUUUUACCAGGACUUCACUGGUGUCAGGGAAGAAUUUCCAAGUCUAUCUCCUUUUCUUUGUGACACCAGGUGGAAUGCUUUGUCAAAAAUCACACCUCUUGUUUCACCUCCUUGUGAAUUUAACUCAUUGUGCUGAGCUGCUUUUACUCUGGUUUGAAAGCAGUCUGAAAUAAAACAAGGUGUCCAGUCUCUACUAGAGCCUCUUGGAAAGGU